CGCCCCCCGCCGCCCACCCCCCAACCCUCUUACUCUGCCUAUGGCUCUCGCUCCGCCUCCGGCGAUGGAUCCCCGUGCGUGGCUGCCGUGCAUGGACAUGGCUAGUCCGCCGGAGACACGAAUCCUGCAUGUGGCCGUCGUCGUCGGCACACCUCUAUUUUUCUCUGUAUUGUCACUGUCCCCUCCUGUGGAUCGAUCUAACCUUGCUCCUCCUUCCGUCGUCGUCGUAGGCCUGGUUGUUGGCCGGUGGCCGCCAUUAAUACGCAAUUGAUGCUCCUCCUUCCGUCGCAGCUAACCGUGAUUUUUUCGCUCACAAUUUCUCUUCUCCGUGUAGAUCUUCCCUUGGUGGCGCUUGCAUCUUCACAUGGCAUAAGAUCGAAGGAUCCUAUGAACCCAGGCCGUCAUGAACGGUCAUCCACCCCGCCGGAGAUUGGUAUUGCUUGCAUGUUCACAGGACCAUGGACCGAGGAUCUCCUGAACACGAUGAACAUCCUAGGUUUUCGAUGUUUGUUUUCCUCGCUCUACGCGGGGAGAUCUCAUUCUGACCCUGCCCUAGCUCUGUUCUCUACAAACCCUGACCUACUGCUGCCGUUUUGGGGCUGCUACCGAAGUUUCUGUUCAUGACAGUUCCAGAAGAUAAGUUCACUGCUUGCAGAUGUCGUUCUGGGGCGAUUGGAACAAGGGAGGGGGGUCUAGCCACAAGCCUCUCUACUGGCUUGGAGCUGGGAAUCUGAAUCUGGAUAAAGAGCCUACUCUGGACGAACUGGAUGUGGAGAAUGUGGGGAAGCUGUCCACCGUCUGGAGAGGUUGAGUCAAUGUUCAGGAACUGGAGGAGUUCCUCCCCCCUCCUCCGGAGGAGUUGACUGUUGGCAGGGAUGAGGUUACCGUGAGAGAUGUUGGUACUUACUGGGGCAAGUGCAGGGAGGGGUCCAUACUGAGAAGAAGGAUUGCUUGCAACUCCCUUGCCGGUCAUCAUGGCAAAUCCCCACUGGACUACCCGCAACUGAAGAAGGUUCAGAAUGCCAUCCGUGAUUUGUUUGACAAGGUUGCUUCAGAGAUACAUGGUUUUAAGGGCCACCCAUACCUUCUCGAAGAAGUGGUUAUUCUUGCCCCAGAGCCCGCGCCUAAGAGCUCUCGCAAGUCCAAGCAAAAAGCUAAGAAGAAGAAAUGAAAAUGAAGCCACUCUAAAUCUCAUACGCCUAAGAGCUCUCUGAAGACAAGCAAAACCAGAAGAAGUGAAAACGAAGCCUCUAAAUCUCAUACCAGUUUUGGCAAGACUUCUAUCAUCUUGAGACUGUUAUCAUGCUUUCUCAGUUUUAAGUUUCUUGUCGAAUGCUAUUAUUGGUUCUUUUCACUAUCGGUUUUGUGAACCACAUACAAAGCUGGGAUGGAAGAAUGAAAUGUCUGGAUCGUCUUUUGGUUUUUUGUGACCC